GACGAAGGAUGCAAGCGUUAUCCGGAUUCAUUGGGUUUAAAGGGAGCGUAGGUGGCCUUAUAAGUCAGUGGUGAAAUCUCUCAGCUUAACUGAGAAAUUGCCAUUGAUACUGUAGGGCUUGAGUACAGAUGCCGUUGGCGGAAUAUGACAUGUAGUGGUGAAAUACAUAGAGAUGUCAUAGAACACCGAUUGCGAAGGCAGCUGACGAAACUGUGACUGACACUGAGGCUCGAAAGUGCGGGGAUCAAACAGG
rnacentral:rRNA from 1 species